UGAAAUUACUAAAUAUGAUUAAAAAAAAAAUAGGAUUAAUUUUAUACAGGUUCUUACAAGUGAAUUAUAAAUAUAUUUCUGUAAAAUUCACCUUUCAUAUGUUAUUUCCACAAAAGUCCUAAUAUUUUCAAAUAUAUCCCUUUAAUUUGUUAACAUAAAAUAUUAUUUAUUUAUAAGUAAAAUAAUUUUUUUGUCAUCACAAAUAUGUCAUUCUAAAAAUCUCAAUUAUUAAUUAAAAAAAAUAAAAAUAUCAAUUCACCUUAUUAACUAAUCAGAAUUAAGUAUUUUAUUUAUGAUUAACUAAUUUUUUCUAACAGGUUCUAACGACAUAAAUAUAGUUAAAAAUAUCAGGACUUUUGAAGUGACAAUAUAUGAAAGCCAAACUUUGUAGGGAUAUAUUUAUAAUUUAUUAUAUUUGUAGGGACCUAUAUGAAAUUAUUGUAAAAAAUAUAUAUAAACAAAUAAAUUGCCUGAAAAUUUUAAUUUAU
rnacentral:lncRNA from 1 species